GCUGCUGUAGCUCAGUGGUAGAGCGUGGGAUUGCAGUCUAACCGCAAUCUAUCCUAAGGUCCGUCGUUCGAUCCGGCGUAGCAGCU